GAUGGCGGCGGCGCGGGAGGCGCCGCGUUGCUAUGGUAACGGCGCAGCCUCCAUUUUGCCGCUUUUGCGGCGGCUGCGCGUGUUCUGCGGGGAGGGCAGAGUGGGGGCUGUGCUUCACUCCCAGAUCCUUACAAAGCGUGCUGACGGUGGGGAUUGCAUCCCGCACAGAUCACGAAGUGCAGUUUGGAGGUGGCUGCUGCCUGUGUGGAAAACAAGUUACGCCGGUUGCUGUGCCCAGCAGGAACCUGCAAUGGUCAUGAGCAGCGAACUUGUGUGAGAAGAGCGUUCCAGAAAGGGCAAGAUGUACAGAGCUACUCCCGAUAAAUUCCAAACAAAUUUGGAAAAUGAAACACUGCCUGAACAGAACUGGAGUGGAAAACAUGUAUUGGAAAAUGUAGGAUGAAGCUUUUGUGUAAACCGGAUUGCUGGCUGUUGAUAUUCUGCACCUGCAGUCACCAUGCUGUAGGCAGGUGGAAUGAGCGUGGAUUGCCUCUGCAGAAUCUGCAGUAUGGUUUGGAUAUCAGCAGUCAUCUGGGAUUCAAGCCUAGAGAAGUAACAAAAUCAGUGAAUGUGUGGUCAGGACUGGGUGUAUUUUAACAUACUGAUUACAGAUGUAUUCAGGAGGAACUUGUAGCUUAUUAAUAAAGCAAGCUCUUUCUUGUUGUGACAUAAGCAUGCCUUAAGUAGGAAAGAACAGAAGAGGGAGUACUGAGCCUUUCCAAAGCAUGCUAGCUCUCCCUUUCCUUUACGGAUCAUACUUGCCAGCUUGCUUCUGAUCUUUUUGCAACAUUAAGAAUGAGUUCAUUAUUGUCUCUUACACUUGGAACAAAAAGUAAUAGAGGGGACCAGAUCUUCCAUUGCAGUUAACAGGAAUAACUCCACUCUUCAUCACAACUAAAUUGAUUUGUACUGGCUGAGGAUGGGACACUAUUUUUGAUGUAUCUGGCAAUUAAUUCUGACAUUCCCAAUGCUAAUAGAACGCACUGAAAUAAGCAGAAAACCAUACUUGUGUUCUUCCACCAUUAGAAAUGAAAGAUUCUUUCAAGAUCAUUAGUUUAAAAAUAAAAAAUAAAUCUGACCAGGUUUCUUUACUGUGGAAAUUUAUUCAGACCACGUAAGUAAUUUCAGCAUUUCCGAUGUUCAAACUCAGAAGGUCUUUUCUCUUUAUUUUCCUUUUCCUAAGUUUUAUAUGACUUCUGAAAUAUUUGAUCUGCUUAUGUCAUUUGUACUUAAAAUUUCACAGCACUGAUUUUCAAAUGGUCUUACUAAUAUGACUGACAAGUUCAGCAAUAGGUAAUGCCCAUAAUGCCACCUCAGCUGCUGGACAUGCUACAACAGACUGUAGUUCAGAUAUAUAGCCUACUGUAUGGCACUCAUCUUCUGACAAGAGCAAACAGAUCUUUGUCAGCAGCCUUGAAUGUUGUGAAUGUUACUACCUGGGCUCCCUACAGAAGAAGAAAUGAUCCUGUGAAGACAGAUUUUUGCUUUCACCAGGAUCUUUGGUGUUUGGAACCUUUUUUCUUUUUUUUUUUUUUUUCUCACUUUGGAGUUGUCUAUCACCUGUGUCACUUUGUCACUUAUUUAUAAAAGCAUACAUGAAAUUAAUCUGAAAGGUAUGCCCAAAGAAUUUUUAGGAUGCUGUUUCUUCAUUUACUGGGAGAAGCUAGUUCUGUGGCAUCAGCUCUUGUAAUGAAAGGCACAAAACCAGAGGUUAGUCAGUCAUGCUCUACUUGAACUCCUGUUCGUCUCCCUUGGGUUGUUUGCUACUUGAAAAUAUGCUGAUCUCACACAAGCAUGAUGCUUGUGCCACACGGGAGAAUGCCAGAAAAGAUCAAAAUCUUGAAAUCAUAAUAGGGUUUAUAAACAUGAAAAGAGAUAAAGAAUAAAAUGGUUUAAUAAAAUGCAUAACAGUUUAAAUCUUAGUUUAUUGGUAACAAUGUUUUUUUUUUCGUUCAAAAAAUAAUGAGAAAAGCUCUUCUACAAGGCAAUCCAGAGUCAUUAAUGUGGGUACCCUGAAGUAAGUGAUGUAAUUACUCUGACAGUGAUCUAAAAAUUUUGUAUUCAGCAUUCCCAGAAUAGUUUUUUUUUUUUUCCAAGAAUCUGGAAGGCUGAAUUUAGGUGAUAUUUAGGCUGCUAUGAAUUCAUGUGUGCAACAGUUUUUUUGUAGCUUCUGAAGGUAUGAAUCCUUUGGAGAUCUCCUAUGCAAGUUCAUUCCUUCUGUGGAAUCACUGAUGUCAGUUGAAUUGUAGACGCUUUCACAAAUAUCUAUUUUUAUAAUAUAUCUGUUUUUACCUGUUGAGUUGUUCUUGAAGUAAAUCUAAUCGAUUCUCCACUUCUCCAUAUACAUAGUCACUUUCAGUAUCACAGAUACCCCAUGUAACAUGGGGUAAUGCUGAGUGACUUGGCGAGUCUUGGUAUUCCCUCAUGUUCUGUUCCUCCCAGUUUCUUUUAUCAGUGAUAUCUGAGGAAAAAUAAACAAAAUAUAGAAAAAGUAUAGAUUUACACACAUGCUGUUAAAGAGGGUUGGCACCACUCAAACAUCCCAUUUACCACUGUUUCUCCAAACCUUAGAAGACAGCUUGAUAUGGUGGAAAUUUGCCUGAACUGUCGUUAUUCCUUACCCAUGUUUAAGGAAAAAUAACAGAGGACACAUCCAAAAAUUAUAAAAUUUUAAUGUAAGGAUAGCAACAUGCUAAUAUUUUAAGCUGUACAUAUACAAAGUAGCUUUAUAUAGUCAAUAUCAUCAGAGUUCUGCCAAGUAAUGACUUCUAUUUCUUUAGUUUUCUUAUUUUUUAAAAGUGAACCCCAGUUUUCUCAAGCUGAAACUAGACAUAUUUGCUCCAAACUAAGUGUAUGAAAUGAUGUACUUGACUGCCUUUGUGUCUGGCUAAAACCUCUUCUCUUGCCCUAGAGUGUUGUACUGAAGUAUAUUUACUGUUUAGCUUUUUGAUGUAAAAGGAGAACUUGCUACAUUGCAUUUACAACAUUUGAUGUGCAUUACAGUGUGUUGGAAUGUCUCCAAACCAAACCAAAUAACCAAAGCUAAAUUGGUUAUUACUUUCAAAAGGAAAAAAAUUUGCACUGAUGUAGUUUUAGCAUCAUGAGUCUACAGCCCAACCCUUAUGUUGGUACAUAAAGCAUGUUUCAGAGACUGGUGCUGUACUGUGGUGUGAAGGGUGCCAGUUUAUUUUGUUUAAUAUUCUAUGACUUGUAACAGAAUGAAAUGUUUUGCAUUGCUAGGUCAGUCAGAGAUCACUUAAAUAUUAAAUUAAGCUUCAUGGUAAAUAUAUGUACACAUAUAUAUUUAUGUUUGAGCUAUGGGUUACAUUUUGGAUUAAGGUACAGACAGUAAAUUUACUUCAAGCUAAAAAUCCUCAAAUGCAUAAUUAGGAUUUACUAUAGAGUUUCAGCUAGAUUGCUCAUUUUAGUUCCCCUUCUAAUCCUGUAUAUUUUAUACACAAGUAAAUAAAAACCUAGUCCUUGUAUGGGUCCUUUAUAUUUAUAUUCAGUCCUUUGUAGAAAAUGAUUAUGGCUAUUCCAGGCCCCAACCUGCUUGUACAAAUCCCAUCCAUUUUGUCCCUAAUAUUUCUUGGUCAAAUGUUGCAACUGACUUCAAAAAUAACUGAAGUGCACUCCUUUCCUUUUUGCUGUUUGAGCUACUUUUUCAUCCUCAUUCAAUUUGUUUAAUUUACACCUCUGUAUAUUUUUUUAAUUAGUAUACAUUCCUUGUUUCAGGCUCUUUUUCCUUUUCACCAAACUGGUGAAAUGUUACAAAUUAUUUAUCAUGGGAUAUAGUAGUAUUACAUACCCUUAUCUGAUAUAAAGAUCUUGCUGUGAGCUUUGCAGAGCCAACAGGUGACAUAUUUAUGAUGAGCAGUGCUUUUUCUACAUAUUUACACAUCAUCUUCAUUAGGGCUGGAGCACCUCUGCAUUGAAGAAAGGUUGAGGGAACUGGGUUUGUUUAGAUUGGAGAAGAGAAGGCUCCAGGAAGACUGCAUUGUGGCCUUCCAGUCCAGUGAAGGGAGCAUAUAAACAGGUGGGGGAAUAGCUGUUUACGAAUGUGGAUAGUGAUAGGACAAGGGGGAAUGGUUUUAAACUGAGGCAGGGGAGGUUUAGGUUAGAUGUUAGGAGGAAGUUUUUCACUCAGAGGGUGGUGACACACUGGAACAGGUUGCCCAAGGAGGUUGUGGAUGCCCCAUCCCUGGAGGCAUUCAAGGCCAGGCUGGAUGUGGCUCUGGGCAGACUGGUCUACUGGUUGUCAACCUUGCACAUUGCAGGGGGGUUGAAACUAGAUGACCUUUAAGGUCCUUUUCAACCUCAUCCUUUUUCUGUGAUUCUGAUUCUAUGAUUCUGUGAUUCUGUGAUCCUCAGCCUUUGUUAUUUUGAAUCAAUCUUUUGUCAUAUGCAAUCAAAAAUUGCUUUGCACUGCUCAGAUUCUCCUCUGUUCUGGAGAAAGAAAAAAAAAAAGGCUAUUGAAACUUUAACUCCUGUUCAGUACAUCUCCCAUUAGAGUCAUAUUUGUAAUUAUUUAGCUAUGUAAAGUCACAGAAUACAUAAAAUGUUCUUACUCAGACAGCUGCUUCAUUGUACAGCUGGAGAAAAUCACUGACUACUUAUUAGGUAUCAGCCUUGGUCAUAGGAGCUGUUGGAUGUGAAUCCCACAUCCUUCAAUAGUUUCUGAACGUUUUUUUCAGGGCUCUCCUAACACUUCUUUGGCACUGCAUGCUGAUAACUCAACUUAGGUUAUGUUCAUUUUACACUUGGGAAAUUUUUCUAAGCAAACCACAGCAACCAGAGCCAUGUUUCAAAUAAAAGAGGAAAAAACAGUGUGAGUGACACAUGAGAGGCUUGUCCAAAUGCUAUUAGCUAAUCCUUUUCAAUCACAUCUUUAAGCAGUGUUGGUCUAUGAAGAAAACAACAAACAGAAAGAAACAGGAAAAAAAAUUUCUUUUCAGAUGUACUAUUUGAAAUAGACUUAGCCAGGAAGGGGAGCUCUCACUACAUGCCUCCGAGCAGAGGAAGAGACUUUCUCCUCUUGUUAAUCAGACGUAGCAGCUUACUACAUUAUGUGCUGUUUAGUUAGCAGGUGGUAGAAAGUUUCCUGGAGCUGUAGAGUAUUUGGAUUUCAUGUGACAUGACCUAUAACCGAUUUUAUGCACUGAACAGAAGGAAAGGAAAAAAGAUUUCAUCUUGGCUACACAGAUACAUAUUCAGGUUCCCAGUCCACUUAAGCCAACAGAAGGAGAGGAAAACAAUGUCAGAGAAGCAUGUAAUUUGGAUUUAGUGGGUACACAUGUCACAACUUGCCGUGUCCAAGGAAUCUGGAAAGCUCUCAGCGAAGUGAAGGGAGCAAUCUUAUGACAAAUUCAAGGGUAAAAUUUUUUUCUAUAGCCGCAGCUAUUAUCGAUGUUGUAAAUCCAGUGGAAUAGAAACUAAAAAUACUGGUCUUAUAUUUCAUUGCUUUAUAAUGGCCUGUAAAACCAAGUUGCUGGCUAUUUUACUCAAUAAAUCAUUCAGUAAAAUCUCA